rnacentral:rRNA from 1 species
CCUACGGGAGGCUGCAGUGAGGAAUAUUUGUCAAUGGGCGGGAGCCUGAACCAGCCAAGUCGCGUGAGGGAAGACGGUCCUAUGGAUUGUAAACCUCUUUAGGCGGGGAGCAAUGCCGGGCACGCGUGCCCGGAGGGAGAGUACCCGCAGAAUAAGCAUCGGCUAACUCCGUGCCAGCAGCCGCGGUAAUACGGAGGAUGCGAGCGUUAUCCGGAUUUAUUGGGUUUAAAGGGUGCGUAGGCGGAUUUUUAAGUCAGCGGUAAAAUGUCCGGGCUCAACCCGGGCCGGCCGUUGAAACUGGGGAGCUUGAGUGGGCGAGAAGUAUGCGGAAUGCGUGGUGUAGCGGUGAAAUGCAUAGAUAUCGCGCAGAACUCCGAUUGCGAAGGCAGCAUACCGGCGCCCGACUGACGCUGAGGCACGAAAGCGUGGGGAUCGAACAGGAUUAGAUACCCCGGUAGUC